GACGUAGGGCGCGAGCGUUGCCCGGAUUUAUUGGGCGUAAAGAGCUCGUAGGCGGCUUGUCGCGUCGACUGUGAAAACCCGAGGCUCAACUUCGGGCUUGCAGUCGAUACGGGCAGGCUAGAGUUCGGUAGGGGAGACUGGAAUUCCUGGUGUAGCGGUGAAAUGCGCAGAUAUCUGGAGGAAUACCGGUGGCGAAGGCGGCAUCCUGGACCGACAUUGACGCUGAGGAGCGAAAGCUAGGGGAGCAAACGGG
rnacentral:rRNA from 1 species